rnacentral:lncRNA from 1 species
GCCUUUAGGGUUUAAUGCUUCCCUAUAUGUAUAAAAUCUCUAUGCUCUAGUUUCUCUUCUCGUUCACGCCGCAGCCUCAGUAGAACAUCAAACCAGAGAUUUUGAACUGCAAAAAGAGGCCAAUUUGAAAGCCUUUUCACCAUGAGAGCUAAGGUAAAAACCUCAAUAUCUGAAAAAAAAUAUUUUCUUUCUGAUCUUUGGAUUGUUUUUUGGUUGAAAUGUUGAUAUGGGUUUCUGAUAAUUUCAGUGGAAGAAGAAGCGUAUGAGGAGGUUGAAGAGGAAGAGAAGAAAGAUGAGGCAAAGAUCUAAGUAGUUCUUUAGAUUUCUGUUGUUUGGUGGGUACUCUUUUGUUAAAGGAUUAAAGUUGUGGAU